rnacentral:rRNA from 1 species
UACGGAGGGUGCGAGCGUUAAUCGGAAUCACUGGGCGUAAAGCGCGCGUAGGCGGCCGUGUAAGUCAGAUGUGAAAGCCCCGGGCUUAACCUGGGAACUGCAUUUGAUACUGUACGGCUUGAGUCUGAUAGAGGGGGGUGGAAUUCCAGGUGUAGCGGUGAAAUGCGUAGAGAUCUGGUGGAACACCAGUGGCGAAGGCGGCCCCCUGGAUCAAGACUGACGCUGAGGUGCGAAAGAGUGGGGAGCAAACAGG